UCCCCAACAAAUUAUGACAAUGAAGGGCAAGAGUAUAAUUAUGCUAUCGUUUUGAAUUGUCAAACAUUGUACUAUCAAUUUUCUAACAAUGGAUUCUCACGAAACUAAGAAAACGAUAAAACCCGAAGAAAUUCAUUUAGUAUCAACAACAGAAGAUUCUAUAGAAUUCAAUUUAUUACUCUGGGCAUUAAAUCAUUCAUCUGUAGUUGGAUUAGAUGCUGAAUGGAAACCUUGUAGAACCAAACAAUACUCUUUCCCAACUGUUUCACUUCUUCAAAUUGCCUGUAGAAUCAAUCAUGAAGUGAUAGAGUAUACAGAUUCACAAAAUAAUAUAUGGGUUUUUCUAGUUGACCUUUCUUUGAUCACCCUUUCUUCAAUUUAUCAACUUCUUAGAGAUAUGUUUAUUUCACCUGAUAUUUUGAAAUUAGGGUUUAGGUUUAAACAUGAUUUGGUUUACUUAUCUUCUACCUUUUCUUCUCAAGGUUCCAAUCCUGGCUUUGAUAAGGUGGAACCUUAUUUAGACAUUACAAGUAUAUACCAACAUCAUUUACAAGAGAAGCAACCAGGAAGAAAAAUGUCUAAGGAUAUGAAAAGCUUAGCAACUGUAUGUGAAGAAAUGCUCAGUGUUUCACUAUCCAAGGAACUCCAAUGUAGCGAUUGGUCACUCCGCCCUCUUACAGAAGAUCAAAAAACAUACGCCGCUGCAGAUGCACAUAGCUUAUUAGAGAUAUUUGCUGUUUUCCAGGAGAAGGUUCUCAAAGAAGUUUCUACUUCGAGGGAUACUACCGAACCUCGGAACGCAAAUGCACUUCUUGGAUUGAAAGAAAUUCUUGUGAUGCCCGAUGUCUGUGAUAAUGUUCUAAGGCUAAAGUUCUGUCAAGCUUCAGAUAUAGUCAGGUUGACUCCAUUUUCUCCGGUAUCAUCUAUUUCCAAGGUCUCAUGCAUGAAGACUGCUCUGUUGGGAGUUUCUCUUUCAAACAUUAUCUCAAGAUACGGUGAAAGAAUUUUGCUGAAGGAAUCGGAUAGAAAACCUAAAACUUCUAAGAGAAAAGGGAAGAGACAAUCCUCGACAGGACUAACUUACAAAGCAAAACUGAUUGAAUGUUCCGGUGAUUGGCAAGGGCCUCCACCAUGGGAUUCGUCAUUAGGGGGUGAUGGGUGCCCGAAAUUUCUGUGCGAUGUGAUGGUAGAGGGUUUAGCGAAACACCUCAGGUGUGUUGGAGUUGAUGCUGCAACCCCUUGUUCAAGAAAGCCUGAACCAAGGAAGUUAGUCGAUCAAGCACAAAAGGAAAAACGGAUACUCUUAACUCGGGAUGCGAAACUAUUGAGACAUGACUACUUAAUAAGAAACCAAAUAUACAGGGUGAAGAGUCUCCUGAAAAACGAUCAGCUACUUGAGGUUAUUGAGACAUUUGACUUGAAGAUUUCCGAGAAUAAGCUAAUGUCAAGGUGCACCAAAUGUAAUGGAAACUUCAUUCAAAAACCGCUAACAACUGAAGAAGCUGUAGAAGCUGCAAAGGGGUUCCAAGUAAUCCCCAAUUGCUUGUUCAACAAAAAUUUGGAGUUCUGGAAAUGUAUGGACUGUAACCAGCUUUACUGGGAGGAUAAAAGUUUUCAGAGUACCAGUUACCUAGGGAAAACUAUGGCUUACAAAUUUCGAAAUAAAGGGGUUAAACAAUUAGGAAUCAAUCCGUAGAAUGUUGAUGUGUAAGAAUGAGGAUAUGACUUCAUGUAGUUCUCCAUACCUGCUAUUUCAAUAUAAAGAGGGAACACAGUAUCAUAACGCAAUUCAGAAGUUCAUCGACGUCUGCAAGUUGAAUGAUUAAAAGUUGAAGAUUGUGUACACAUAAAGGAUGUGGUUAUAGCCCAUGUUGUAUUACUAUUGGUAAUAGGAAAACUUACUCAGCCAUAAAUUUGGUCAGAAAGAAAACAGAAAUCUGACUACCAGUGGACCAUCUCAUCUUGUCUUCAAUUCAUCAUGCUUGUGGUCAUCUAGCUUAACAUUUUAGGGUUUUUUGUUACAUGGCGUCAUAUAUUUUUUUCUCUUUCCUGUGCGUACCCCACUCUCGCAUCAAUGUGUUCAUAAACUCGACUGUUCCAUACCAACGUGGUGUUUCACAAACCUCAGUUUUGAAUUGAUUCGACUGUGGCGGACGCCGCAGACCU